AGCAUAAUCACUUGUCUCUUAAUUGGAGUCUGGAAUGAAUGGUUGGAUGAAAAAUUGACUUUCUUUAUUUUAAAAAUAAAAUUUAAUUUUUGAGUCAAAAAGCUCAAAUAUUAAUAUAGGACGAGAAGACCCUAUAGAACUUUAUUUUUUCUAAAAUAGUUAUUUACUUGUAAAUAAUUUUUUAUUAUUUUAGAAAAAAUUUUGUUGGGGUGACAGAAAAAAUUUAAUAACUUUUUUAUUUUUUUUCAUUUAUAUAUGAGUUUUUUGAUCCUUUUUUAGGGAAAAAAGAUUAAGUUACCUUAGGGAUAACAGCGUUAUUAUUUUAGAGAGUUCAUAUUGAUAAAAUAGUUUGCGACCUCGAUGUUGGAUUAAAAUAAGUUUCAGGAGCAGAAAAUUGAUUAACUAGGUCUGUUCGACCUUUAAAUUUUUACAUGAUCUGAG
rnacentral:rRNA from 1 species